GGACAUUAGGUCUCUUAACUGUAGCUAUCCUUAAAGUAUUGUAUUAGUUAAUUAAUAUAAUAUAAAUCAAGAACCCAUAUAUUUAUCAACUAGUGUAAUGAGGAAUAUUAUAGAUAUGGGAAGCAAGAUGCUGAAUGAAGGAGACCAGAUUGUAAAAACGUUGGAGGAAGCUGAUGCUGCUUACAAAUUUAUUACAAAUGUUGCAAAUAAUCGGAAACCCAAGUUGGUGGAAGAGGAAUCUAAUUAUCUGGUGUAUGAAAGCAGCAUGUUGCUAUUGCUAGAACAUUAUUAUAGCAACCAUCGACUUCAAUAUUGAAUUAUAAUACACGAGCGCAUUGGAUCGUUAUAACGGAAGAGUGGUUGAAGAAACGAUGGGAAAUUCUAACCAACGAAGGAAUAUCGU